ACCAGUGUUUCCCUGGAAUAUA
rnacentral:miRNA from 14 species